rnacentral:lncRNA from 1 species
GCUCUCGAGAUUCGGAGGACGGUGCCUCUUCGAUUUUGGAGCAAGCAAUCUUGUUGGGAAUGUUUUCUCGAAUGUGAGUAAAGGUUGGGCAUGUUUGCUAGUCUACCUUGCCACGGAGCACAGAGGUUGAUACACAGAGACUUUCCAAUUAUCCAGCAGUGGUGCUGUUCCUUUACCCUUGUGGGUAAUAAUAUGGUAGCUAGACCUUCAAAUUUUAUGUGGCUAAACUUUGUUAGUGCUGUUUCUUUGCUAUUCUUUUACCCUUCUUGGUCAUAGCGAUGUAGUGGGAGCUGCAAGCUUCACGUGUUUAAACUUUGUCAGAAAUCUUUAGCAAAGUUAUCUGUGGUACCCAUGAGCUGAUGGUGCGUGUGGAAAGUGGAUGAUUGAACAGUAAGAUUCACGUGCUUUCUACUUCACUAGAAAUCUUCAACAGAAUGCCCGUAAUUUCAGCAAAGCUGAGUGUGCAUGUGAUAGGUGCUGACAAGGCUGAAAAAAGCAGGUGCCUCUUCGAUUUCUGCGAUCGGCCCUCAUGGUCUCUAAGCGGCCCAGCUUUUGAGAAAGCAAGCACCUCUUCGAUUUCUGAGAUCGACCUUCGUGGUCUUUGAGCAGCCCAGCUUUUGAGAAAGCAAACGCCUCUUCGAUUUCUAAGAUCGGCCCUCGUGGUCUCUGAGCAGCCCAGCUUUUGAGAAAGCAAACGCCUUUCGAUUUCUAGGCAGGCGCCUCUUCGAUUUCUGAAGCUCCGUCGAGUGCAGAUUUUUAUAGAGGUUGGCACUAAGUUCCAAAGCACACUUAAAUCUUCACCAGUAGAAGCUCCAUUCUUGCACUUCUAAGAUCUUGAUUUGUCCGACCUCUUCUGUCUUCAACACCUUUGAAAAUGUCUGGCCCCUCCGACCGUCGUUUUGACUUGAACCUUGUUGAAGAGGCAGUCACGCCUUCUCCAGACAACAUAUGGCGCCCAUCCUUCUUAUCCCCUAUUGGUCGUCUUACCGUUGGGGAUUCCGUGAUGAAGAAUGAUAUGACUGCUGCGGUGGUGGCCAGGAACCUUCUCACUCUCAAAGAUAACAGACUACUUUCCAAACGGUCUGAUGAGUUGGCUGUUAGGGAUUCUCUGGCUCUAAGUGUUCAGUGUGCAGGUUCUGUGUCUAAUAUGGCCCAACGCCUAUUUGCUCGAACCCGCCAAGUUGAAUCAUUGGCGGCUAAAGUGAUGAGUCUUAAACAGUAGAUUAGAAGGCUCAUGCAUGAGAAUAAACAGUUGCACCGGCUCGCACAUGACUAUCUACAAACAUGAAGAGGAAGCUUGACCAGAUGAAGGAAUCUGAUGGUCAGGUUUUACUUGAUCAUCAGCGGUUUGUGGGUUUAUUCCAAAGGCAUUUAUUGCGUUCGUCUUCUAGGGCUGUACCACGUAAUGAAGCUCCAAAUGAUCAACCUUCGAUGUCUUCUCCUUUUAGGGUUCUGUCCAGUACUGAGGCUCCGAAUGAUCCCUCUCCGGUGCCUCCUCUUUCUGGGGCUUUACCGACUGCUGAGACUUCUCCUAAGCAACCUUUGUGAAGGCUCCCUCUUGUUUGUUUAUUUUGACUCAUGUAUAUGUACAUAUUUGUAACUUAUCGGAGAUAUCAGUAAAUAAGCUUUGCUUCAUUUCAACGUAUUGUGUUAAAUACACCAAAGCCUUCUUCACUGAGUGGGGUCGGCUAUAUGAAUCUUAGAACGCUAUUGUGCUCGGUCCUGUGUCAUGUCCUCCGUUAGAUCCAAAUACUCUAAGUCUUUUCUUAGAGUCUCUUCCAAAGUUUUCCUAGGUCUUCCUCUACCCCUUCGGCCCUGAACCUCUGUCCCGUAGUCGCAUCUUCUAACCGGAGCGUCAGUAGGCCUUCUUUGCACAUGUCCAAACCACCGUAACCGAUUUUCUCUCAGCUUUCCUACAAUUUCGGCUACUCGUACUUUACCUCGGAUAUCCUCAUUCCUAAUCUUAUCCUUUCUCGUGUGCCCACACAUCCAACGAAGCAUCCUCAUCUCCGCUACACCCAUUUUGUGUACGUGUUGAUGCUUCACCGCCCAACAUUCUGUGCCAUACAGCAUCGCCGGCCUUAUUGCCGUCCUAUAAAAUUUUCCCUUGAGCUUCAGUGGCAUACGGCGGUCACACAACACGCCGGAUCCACUCUUCCACUUCAUCCAUCCAGCUUGUAUUCUAUGGUUGAGAUCUCUAUCUAAUUCUCCGUUCUUUUUCAAGAUAGAUCCUAAGUAGCGAAAACGAUCGAUCUUUGGUAUUUCCUGAUCUCCGAUCCUAACCUCUAACUCAUUUUGGCCUCCAUUUGCACUGAACUUGUACUCCAUAUAUUCUGUCUUUAAUCGGCUUAGGCGAAGACCUUUAGAUUCCAACACUUCUCUCCAAAGGUUAAGCUUCGCAUUUACCCCUUCCCAAGUUUCAUCUAUCAACACUAUAUCGUCUGCGAAAAGCAUACACCAAGGAAUAUCAUCUUGAAUAUGUCCUGUUAACUCAUCCAUUACCAACCCAAAAAGGUAAGGACUUAAGGAUUGUUGAUGCACAAAAUCAGUGAGGACUUUGGUACAACAGAAAGUAUUAAGUUUGUGAUCUUCGCUAGAUUGCUCUGGUCAUUAGUGUGGAUAAGUAUGUAAAUGGAUAGAGACAGGAAAGCAAACACAAGAUGUACGUGGUUCACCCAGAUUGGCUACGUCCACGGAGUAGAGGAGUUCUCAUUAAUUGUGAAGGGUUUACACAAGUACAUAGGUUCAAGCUUUCCUUUAGUGAGUACAAUUGAAUGAUUUAGUACAAAUGACAUUAGGAAAUAUUGUGGGAGAAUGAUCUCGUAAUCACGAAACUUCUAAGUACCGAAGUGUGGUAUCGUCUUCACUUGCCUUAUCUGUCUCAUAGGUAGAUGUGGCAUCUUCUCUGGAAGUACUCUUCCUCCAUCCAGGGGUGGUAUCUUUAAUUGGUGGAGAUGCACAAGGUAAUGUAUCAAUUUCACUUGAAGCUUACUUGUAGUUUCAGGCUUGGUCAAGCGCGAUACAAACCAUGCAGUAGGAGUCCCCCAAGUCGCCGAGCUAGGGGAUAUGCUGAAAGAGGUGACAGACAAGGUAAGCAAUCAGAGCUCCAAGCAAUCAGUCCCAGAUCAGAAGUUUGAUUUCGAGUUCCGGCUGAUUGUUCUCAUUCUCCCUAUCUUGCAAGGCAGCAUGAAGGAUAAAGAGAAGAAAAUGAGAAGAGAUGAUAUGAGAUACUUUUGCUUUUGAAGAAGUAACUUUCCACAGGCUUAUUCUUGAACUGGGCUGGAGGGUUUUCUGGUUUCCUCCAGAGUAUAAGGCCGACUGAAGAAUUUGAGGUCAAAACAAGUCCAUCAAAUCUAGAGUACGUUCGACCCUGCUGAUAUGGGAUACUUUUGCUGUUGACAAAGUAGUGGAUGUAUCGGCACGUGUUCUGUUACGCUUGUCUCCACAUGCUUCCUUGUAUCCUUCUCACUUUCCCUAUCUGUUCCUCAGGCAGAUGUGGUAUCUUCUCUGGAAGCAUAAGAUGUUGAAGAUGAGUACUCGAGAGCAAUGCCAGUUAAGUAAUCAGGUAAGGGGUUCCAAGCAGUCAGUUCCUGACUGGAAGCUUGAUUCCAAGUGCUGACUGAUUGCUCUCUUUCUCCUUGUCUUGCAGGUAAGAACAAGGCCAAAGGAAAAGACAGGGAAAAAGCAUGAUAUGGGAUACUCUUGCUUUUAACCCUGAUGAUAUGAGAUAUUCUUGCUCUGGUAUAGCUUGUUUGCAGAGGUAUUAUCGGGGGGAAAGAAAGCUGAGUAUUUCGAGAGGCUUCGUUGGAAGUGCCCUCUCAGAUAUGAAGAAGGGUUGAGCAUUUUUGCAGGUCUACCUGUCCGUUGAGGAUGGAGGUCGACAUAUAUAGGAGUCUCCCUAACAACAAGUAGUAAUGCUAUUCCUUUACCCUGCUUGGUCAUAGCACGGUAGUAGGAGCUGCCAGCUUCACGUGUGUCAAAGCACUUUGAAAAAGUGGUCUGUUGUAUCUGGAAAGCUGAUGUUGCGUGUGAAGAUUACAGACAAGCUUUAUCCAAGGAGAUCUGGCUCACGAAUUUGAGAAAGCGGUACCUCUUUGAUUUUCGAACAAGCAAUCCUGUCGGGGAUCUGGCUCUCGAGAUUCGGAGAACGGUGCCUCUUCGAUUUUUUAGAGAAGCAAUCCUGCUGGGAGUCUGGCUCUCGAGAUUCGGAGAGCGGUGUCUCUUCGAUUUUUUGAGAAAGUAAUCAUGUUGGGAGUCUGGCUCUCGAGAUUCGGAGGACGGUGCCUCUUCGAUUUUGGAGCAAGCAAUCUUGUUGGGAGUGUUUUCUCGAAUGUGAGCAAAGGUUGGGCAUGUUUGCUAGUCUACCUUGCCAUGGAGCACAGAGGUUGACAUACAUAGACUUUCCAAUUAUCCAGCAGUGGUACUGUUCCUUUACCCUUGUGGGUAAUAAUAUGGUAGCU